CGUGAAAACACCGGUUCCCGUAGGAUCACCGAAGUUAAGCAACGUAUGGCCUCAUUAAUGAGGACCUAGAUGGGUAACUUCUUGGGAAUACCAGGCAUUGUAU